rnacentral:rRNA from 1 species
AUUGAACGCUGGCGGCAGGCCUAACACAUGCAAGUCGAGCGGAAACGAGUUAUCUGAACCUUCGGGGAACGAUAACGGCGUCGAGCGGCGGACGGGUGAGUAAUGCCUAGGAAAUUGCCCUGAUGUGGGGGAUAACCAUUGGAAACGAUGGCUAAUACCGCAUAAUGCCUACGGGCCAAAGAGGGGGACCUUCGGGCCUCUCGCGUCAGGAUAUGCCUAGGUGGGAUUAGCUAGUUGGUGAGGUAAUGGCUCACCAAGGCGACGAUCCCUAGCUGGUCUGAGAGGAUGAUCAGCCACACUGGAACUGAGACACGGUCCAGACUCCUACGGGAGGCAGCAGUGGGGAAUAUUGCACAAUGGGCGCAAGCCUGAUGCAGCCAUGCCGCGUGUGUGAAGAAGGCCUUCGGGUUGUAAAGCACUUUCAGUCGUGAGGAAGGUAGUGUAGUUAAUAGCUGCAUUAUUUGACGUUAGCGACAGAAGAAGCACCGGCUAACUCCGUGCCAGCAGCCGCGGUAAUACGGAGGGUGCGAGCGUUAAUCGGAAUUACUGGGCGUAAAGCGCAUGCAGGUGGUUUGUUAAGUCAGAUGUGAAAGCCCGGGGCUCAACCUCGGAAUAGCAUUUGAAACUGGCAGACUAGAGUACUGUAGAGGGGGGUAGAAUUUCAGGUGUAGCGGUGAAAUGCGUAGAGAUCUGAAGGAAUACCGGUGGCGAAGGCGGCCCCCUGGACAGAUACUGACACUCAGAUGCGAAAGCGUGGGGAGCAAACAGGAUUAGAUACCCUGGUAGUCCACGCCGUAAACGAUGUCUACUUGGAGGUUGUGGCCUUGAGCCGUGGCUUUCGGAGCUAACGCGUUAAGUAGACCGCCUGGGGAGUACGGUCGCAAGAUUAAAACUCAAAUGAAUUGACGGGGGCCCGCACAAGCGGUGGAGCAUGUGGUUUAAUUCGAUGCAACGCGAAGAACCUUACCUACUCUUGACAUCCAGAGAACUUUCCAGAGAUGGAUUGGUGCCUUCGGGAACUCUGAGACAGGUGCUGCAUGGCUGUCGUCAGCUCGUGUUGUGAAAUGUUGGGUUAAGUCCCGCAACGAGCGCAACCCUUAUCCUUGUUUGCCAGCGAGUAAUGUCGGGAACUCCAGGGAGACUGCCGGUGAUAAACCGGAGGAAGGUGGGGACGACGUCAAGUCAUCAUGGCCCUUACGAGUAGGGCUACACACGUGCUACAAUGGCGCAUACAGAGGGCAGCAAGCUAGCGAUAGUGAGCGAAUCCCAAAAAGUGCGUCGUAGUCCGGAUUGGAGUCUGCAACUCGACUCCAUGAAGUCGGAAUCGCUAGUAAUCGUGGAUCAGAAUGCCACGGUGAAUACGUUCCCGGGCCUUGUACACACCGCCCGUCACACCAUGGGAGUGGGCUGCAAAAGAAGUAGGUAGUUUAACCUUCGGGAGGACGCUUACCACUUUGUGGUUCAUGACUGG